rnacentral:lncRNA from 1 species
AUGGGGGUGUCAGGGCGCGAGCAGGCUCGCUCUUCACCCUUGAGGGAGAGGAGCGCAUUCGUGCGGCCUGGUACGACGCGCAUUUGUGGGGACACCGGGUGUGCAGAGAGGAGUGUUAAAGCAUUAUUUCGAGCUGUGCAGCUUAAACUCUGGUCAACGGGGGAGCAGAGAAGUCAAAGGCAUCGCUGUAGCAAGCAAGUUCUAAACCUCAAUCAUGUCAUUGAUCCACCCUCAAAUGCCCUUUCCUGCGAGUUCCUCGUGGCAAGGUUUGUGCCAUGGGAAGAGGCACUGGCUUUUCUGUGAUGGAAAUUGAGUACCACAGCUACAUCACCAUCAUGGCAGAAACACCAUGUGGCAUCCGGAUUU